AAACAUCAGCAGAAGCGGAAUAUGGCUUCCGGGCAGCAAUGGGUGUUGGUAGAAAUGGUACAAGCUUUUUAUGAGGCUCCUGCAUAUCACCUAAUUCUGGAGGGCAUCUUGAUAUUAUGGAUAAUCAGACUUUUAUUCUCCAAGACCUACAAACUUCAUGAGACUUACAAACUGACAGAAAGGGAAAAAGAGGACCUAAUAGAAGAAUGGCAGCCAGAUCUUCUUGUCCCUCUAAUUUCAAAAGACCAUCCUUCCCUUAAAUACAACAUUGUUUCAGGACCACCCAGCCAUAAAAUCAUAGUCAAUGGAAGGGAGUGCAUUAAUUUUGCCUCUUUUAACUUUUUGGGACUCCUUGACAAUGAACGUGUAAAGGAAAAAGCUUUGAUGUCACUAAAAAAAUACGGUGUUGGCACAUGUGGUCCAAGAGGCUUUUAUGGAACUUUUGAUGUCCAUUUAGAAUUGGAGAAUCGUCUUGCCAAAUUCAUGAAAACAGAGGAGGCCAUUAUCUAUUCAUAUGGCUUUGCAACUAUGGCUAGUGCGAUUCCAGCCUACUCCAAAAGAGGGGACAUGAUCUUUGUGGAUGAAGCUGCCUGUUUCUCCAUCCAGAAAGGCCUUCAGGCAUCCCGCAGCUUCAUCAAAUUCUUCAAACACAAUGACAUGGAUGAUCUGGAGAGGCUGCUAAAGGAGCAAGAGUUGGAGGACCAGAAGAACCCUCGGAAAGCUCGAGUGACGCGGAAGUUCAUUGUGGUUGAAGGAAUGUACAUCAAUACAGCAGAUAUUUGUCCUCUCCCUGAGCUGUAGCCAGGCUUACGGCGCGGGACCGGUCCACCCCGACUCGGUCCGGCGCUCCAACAACGGAGCGGAAAAUGUCUUCAGAUGUCAUGGUGUCGGUCAUGGGCACCAACUCUAGAAUCUCUGUGACAGUCAACGUCUCGUCGACUCCACGAAUAAAUAUGGCCAGUUGAGUGACAUCCGCAAUAUCAGUACUCUCAUCAAUUGCAACAGAAAAUGCCAGAAAUGACUCCGUUUUGCGUUUGAGUUGUUUGUCCAUAUCUGCCGAUAGUUCCAAAAUACUGUCUGCCACGGUAUUUCUCAUCAAGCUAAUAGAACUUUGGAUUUGACGUCACUGCGUGGGACGUUUACGUCUCUUGGCACCAUCUUGUUUUGCCAGAUACCAAAACAAACUUUUUCCUGUGUUUUUAUCAUGUUACCGCUGUAUCCUCCUCUUCCAUAAUGCUGAAAAGUUGUUUGAAAGAAAGAGGGUUAUAUCGUAAAAAGCUUCUCCCAGAAGCCAAAAAAUAAAACAUAAGGCGCUGUGUUGCACCUUCAAAAUAAAAGCAUGCAAGUAGGAGAUUUAAAAAAUUUUCGCAACUGCAGUAAAAUUAUGGGGUGGGAUGAAUGCACCUGUCUCCAAUAUUGGGGCAGGGGACACUUCCAACUCGUUCCCUUGGUUCUUAUGCUCAAGCCACGUUUGGUGCCAAUUUACCUUUUUAUGUGGAAGUUAUAGCAUUUUUUUUUGCGAGGACGCUAAGUUUGCUGCUUGGCCAUGCCAGCUGAACAUAUCCAAAACCUCAGGUUUUUUUUGUGUUUUUUUUUUUUUUUUUCUUUAAUGCCCCAUCCCUUAACUGACCCAAAAUGAAGUUAGUAGCUUAGAAUCCCAAGGACAGGACGCCGACCCUCAAGGACCGGCAUCCUGUCUUCGACAGUUAACAAACUUCUCUAGAAGGAGUUUGUUAAAGUUCGAGAUUUGUAAAAGUAAUAAAUGGGCAAAAUUUGCCCUUGGACCCAAAAAGGCUGCAUCUCUGUACAUUUUACGGAGCACUUCCAAGAUACUUUUUUCUUAAUUUAGGAGCGCUGUACCUAUGUACCAUAUUUCAGAUCUCUGCAUCCCAUGUGUUGUCCUAUCUCAUGUUAGGGGGCACUGUAGAGCAGUUUGGCCACACGCAUUUGCGAUUCCAAUAUUAUCUAAAAAUUUUAGUUGGGACAAUUUUGGAUGAAGUUGGUGAAUUUUUGAAGAUGUUAAACCCUCCAAAAUGCAGUGCACAUUAGAAAAAUAAGAAAUCCUGCAAUUACAAUUACAUUGAAGCAAACUUCAGAUUGGUGCAGACAACUCUCCAGAUUUUGCCAGUUUUGUAUUCAUAAAAAUUUUAAAGACGAGAAUAUAUGUUCUACUUUUUUGGCGAACCUUGCUCUUGUAAGAUAAAAAGUGUAAGGAAAGAAAAACUGCACUCAAAUCUUCCUUAUUGAGGUUUUGCCUGACAUUACAACUGAAAUACUGCUGUACUCUGUCCAUCCAACUAAUAGCCUGAAUUGUACCUCUAUGUGUUAUUGCUAACAACUAAACAUAAAGAAUGUAGUCAAAGCACGUGAGGCACCAGGAAUGUUUUUAUGAUCUCUACUAUCUGUCUAAUUUCCCAGGUCAAGCUCAAGUAUAGAUACAAGGUGCGGAUCUUUUUGGAGGAGAGCAUGUCUUUUGGUGUGUUGGGUGAACACGGUAAAGGUGUCACAGAACACUUUGGGGUGAAUAUUGAUGACAUCG